rnacentral:rRNA from 1 species
UUUGACCUCAAAUCAAGUAGGA